UGCCAGCCGCCGCGGUAAUACGGAGGGGGUUAGCGUUGUUCGGAAUUACUGGGCGUAAAGCGUACGUAGGCGGAUUAAUAAGUUAGAGGUGAAAAUGCGGGGCUCAACUCCGUAUUGCGUUUGAAACUGGCAGGCUAGAGUACUGGAGAGGUGGGCGGAACUACAAGUGUAGAGGUGAAAUUCGUAGAUAUUUGUAGGAAUGCCGAUAGUGAAGACAGCUCACUGGACAGAUACUGACGCUAAAGCUCGAAAGCGUGGGGAGCGAACAGGAUUAGAUA
rnacentral:rRNA from 1 species